GGACAACAGAGGAUGAGAUGGUUGGAUGGCAUCACUGACUCAAUGGACGUGGAAAUGGUGUAUACUUGGACCAGUGACUGGAUAAAGGUGUGCCCCUUUGCUUUCCUGAAAGGAAACUUUGUGGUUAAUCUAAAUAUUUCUCUAUUACUGCAUGUUAGAUCUAUUGGUCAGAGAAGGCAAUGGCACCCCACUCCAGUACUCUUGCCUGGAAAAUCCCAUGGAUGGAGGAGCCUGGUAGGCUGCAGUCCAUGGGGUCGUGAAGAGUUGGACAUGACUGAACGACUUCACUUUCACGCAUUGGAGAAGAAAAUGGCAACCCACUCCAGUGUUCUUGCCUGGAGAAUCCCAAGGAUGGGGUCGCACAGAGUCGGACACGACUGAAGUGACUUAGCAGUAGCAGCAGAUCUAUUGGUGGCAGUCAAGUUAUAAAGAAGUUGCAAGAUCCACAUUUAGAUUGCACUGAACUAGAUGAGGAAGGGGCAUGUCCAUGCCAUGUUGUUGCUCUGGAUGCAGUAGCUGCAUGUGACUGGCAGUUGUCCAUAGAUUGUUAGGUGUGGGCAUUUUGGAAUUGUAGAUAUGGGGGAAAUGGCAUAUGUGUUUAUGAGGCAGUCAAAAGGAGGACUGUAUGUAAACAUCUAUUUUGUCUCCCCUAUACCCCUUUGCUACCCUUUUCUCUACCUUACUCCCAUGGUUGCAUCAGGAGCCAUUCUUUAUGUACUUUCCCUGAGAAUUUGGGAUUGAGCUAGAGGAGGAAAGAUGAAAAAUCCUGGCUGCAUUUCAGCAUCUGAUUUAUUUGUUCCUAAGGGCCAUCUGCAUUAUCCUUGUGUUUUGUGAGAUACCACCACCAACUUUAUAAUAAAUUCCUCUUUUUGUUUAA